rnacentral:snRNA from 1 species
GGACUUUGAAAAGAGAGUCAAAG